AUGAAUGCAUCACCUUUCAAAACCCUAGUGUGGAAUGUGAGGGGCCUUAAUAUCCCGGCGCUUCGAAGUGCAAUUUAUCAGGUGGUUAGCUCGGUUGCGCCGAGCAUUGUGUGUCUCCAAGAGACAAAAAUGGAACUUGUAACGACAGAAGUGGUCGCCCACUGCCUUGGGAAUAAACUCGAGAGCUUCUACUACUUGCCCGCGAUAGGAACGAGGGGCGGCAUUCUCCUUGCUUGGGAUGCUACCGUGGUGAAACUUUCCAACCCGCAUUGGUGGCUCACAAUGGUGGAUGACAGGAGUAUACGGCCCACAACAAGAUCAAGACAAAGUGGAAUUCAUGCAAGAAUUGGUGGACAUUCGCGAGCUGAUAGCCGGACCAUGGACUGUGAUGGGGGAUUUCAACCUAUUGGUUAA
rnacentral:rRNA from 1 species